AGUCUGGGGUCCCCUGCUCCUCUGAGUCUGGGGUCCUCUGCCCCCUGAUCUGGGGUCCUCUGUUCCCCCUGAGUCUGGGGUCCUCAGUUCCCCUGAGUCUGGGGUCCUCUGUUCCCCUGAGUCUGGGGUCCUCUGUUCCCCUGAGUCUGGGGUCCUCUGUUCCCCUGAGUCUGGGGUCCUCUGUUCCCCCUGAGUCUGGGGUCCUCUGUUCCCCUGAGUCUGGGGUCCUCUGUUCCCCUGAGUGUGGGGUCCUCAGUUCCCCUGAGUCUGGGGUCCUCUGUUCCCCUGAGUCUGGGGUCCUCUGUUCCCUGAGUCUGGGGUCCUCUGCCCCCUGAGUCUGGGGUCCUCAGUUCCCCCUGAGUCUGGGAUCCUCAGUUCCCCUGAGCCUGGGGUCCUCUGUUCCCCUGAGUCUGGGGUCCUCUGCCCCCUGAGUCUGGGGUCCUAUGUUCCCUGAGUCUGGGGUCCUCUGUUCCCCUGAGUCUGGGGUCCUCUGCCACCUGAGUCUGGGGUCCUCUGCCCCUGAGUCUGGGGUCCUCUGCCCCGAGUCUGGGGUCCUCCAUUCCCCUGAGUCUGGGGUCCUCUGCCCCCUGAGUCUGGGGUUUCUGCCACCUGAGUCUGGGGUCCUCUACCCCCUGAGUCUGGGGUCCUCUGUUCCCUGAGUCUGGGGUCCUCAGUUCCCCUGAGUCUGGGGUCCUCUGCCCCCUGAGUCUAGGGUCCUCUGCCCCUGAGUCUGGGGUCCUCUGUUCCCCUGAGUCUGGGGUCCUCUGUUCCCCUGAGUCUGGGGUCCUCUGUUCCCUAAGUCUGCGGUCCUCUGUUCCCCCUGAGUCUGGGGUCCUCUGUUCCCUGAGUCUGGGGUCCUCUGUUCCCCUGAGUCUGGGGUCCUCUGUUCCCCUGAGUCUGGGGUCCUCUGUUCCCUAAGUCUGCGGUCCUCUGUUCCCCCUGAGUCUGGGGUCCUCUGUUCCCUGAGUCUGGGGUCUACUGUUCCCUUAGUCUGGGGUCCUCUGCCCCCUGAGUCUGGGGUUCUCUGUUCCCUGAGUCUGGGGUCCUCUGUUCCCCUGAGUCUGGGGUCCUCUGUUCCCCUGAGUCUGGGGUCCUCUAUUCCUCCUGAGUCUGGGGUCCUCUGCCCCCUGUGUCUGGGGUCCUCUGUUCCCCUGAGUCUGGGGUCCUCUGUUCCCCCUGAGUGUGGGGUCCUGUGUUCCUCUGAGUCUGGGGUCCUCUGUUCUCCUGAGUCUGGGGUCCUCUGUUCCCCUGAGUCUGGGGUCCUCUAUUCCUCCUGAGUCUGGGGUCCUCUGUUCCCCCUGUGUCUGGGGUCCUCUGCCCCGAGUCUGGAGGGGCCUCAGCCUCAGUGGCCAUGAUACGGGAGAUGUCCUGGUUUCAGUGCUGAGACCCAAGAUUCAGGGGACCCCAGUCCUGUCCCCCCACCGCCCGUAUCCAAGGCGACCUUUCACCCCUCGCCUCCCCUUCUGUGCGAGAGUCGGGGUCCCACACAGGACGGGGGUCUCACAGGACCGUCCCAAGUGCCUUCCCCACCUGGAGCAGCCUUCCGGGCUGAGGAGCCGGGGGCCACGUCCCCGCAAACCUGGGGUCCCCACUCCCGACUCCCCGCCUGGGGGUCCCCCUGCCCUGAGCCCCUGGGGCCCCCGCCCGGGUCUGCCCCCGGUGUCCUGGGGGCGCCGUGCCUGGGACCCCAGGCCGGGGAGGGGGCUGUGUGGCCCCCCAAGAAGUGACAAUAAAGACCUCAGCACACAA